UACGUAGGGUGCAAGCGUUAAUCGGAAUUACUGGGCGUAAAGCGUGCGCAGGCGGUUAUGCAAGACAGAGGUGAAAUCCCCGGGCUCAACCUGGGAACUGCCUUUGUGACUGCAUAGCUAGAGUACGGUAGAGGGGGAUGGAAUUCCGCGUGUAGCAGUGAAAUGCGUAGAUAUGCGGAGGAACACCGAUGGCGAAGGCAAUCCCCUGGACCUGUACUGACGCUCAUGCACGAAAGCGUGGGGAGCGGAACCGG
rnacentral:rRNA from 1 species